rnacentral:rRNA from 1 species
CGGAGGGGGCUAGCGUUGUUCGGAAUUACUGGGCGUAAAGGGCGCGCAGGCGGCUGCUCAAGUCAGGCGUGAAAGGCCUGGGCUCAACCCGGGAAUUGCGCUUGAGACUGGGCUGGCUUGAGUGCGGGAGAGGAUGGUGGAAUUCCCAGCGUAGAGGUGAAAUUCGUAGAUAUUGGGAAGAACACCGGUGGCGAAGGCGGCCAUCUGGACCGCAACUGACGCUGAGGCGCGAAAGCGUGGGGAGCAAACAGGAUUAGAUACCCUGGUAGUCCACGCCGUAAACGAUGAGUGCUAGACGUUGGGGAGCCUAGCUUUCCGGUGUCGCAGCUAACGCAUUAAGCACUCCGCCUGGGGAGUACGGCCGCAAGGUUA